GACGAACGCUGGCGGCGUGCCUAACACAUGCAAGUCGAGCGAUGAAGCUUCCUUCGGGAAGUGGAUUAGCGGCGGACGGGUGAGUAACACGUGGGUAACCUGCCUCAAAGUGGGGGAUAGCCUUCCGAAAGGAAGAUUAAUACCGCAUAAUAUAAGAGAAUCGCAUGAUUUUUUAUCAAGAUUAUUGCUUUGAGAUGGACCCGCGGCGCAUUAGCUAGUUGGUAAGGUAACGGCUUACCAAGGCAACGAUGCGUAGCCGACCUGAGAGGGUGAUCGGCCACAUUGGAACUGAGACACGGUCCAGACUCCUACGGGAGGCAGCAGUGGGGAAUAUUGCGCAAUGGGGGAAACCCUGACGCAGCAACGCCGCGUGGGUGAUGAAGGUCUUCGGAUUGUAAAGCCCUGUUUUCUGGGACGAUAAUGACGGUACCAGAGGAGGAAGCCACGGCUAACUACGUGC
rnacentral:rRNA from 1 species